GCUUUUAAAGGAUCAAAUCAGAUGAUACUCCUGAUGGCGGAGAUCUCAUCAUAUCUUUAUUUUGUAAUUUUUUUGGGUACCAGGUAACAAGGUUAGUAAAAGAAGGAACUGGGAAAACCACCUUAGCUAUUGGUGAUGGUGCAAAUGAUCUUGGAAUGAUUAAAGAAGCCGACAUUGGAGUUGGCAUCAGUGGCGUGGAAGGUAUGCAGGCUGUAAUGGCCAGCGACUUCUCCAUUGCCCAAUUCCGUUUCUUGGAAAGGCUUCUUGUUGUCCAUGGACACUGGUGUUAUAAGAGGAUUGCACAGAUGGUUUGCUAUUUCUUCUACAAGAACAUAGCAUUUGGCCUUACCCUCUUAUACUUUGAGGCAUUUGCAGGAUUUUU